UUUCUCAAGUGCUAGAUUCUAAUUAAAUCAUAGUAUCACUAUGAGGCUGUUAUUAUUAUUCUUACUUUACAAUUAAACUGAAGUUCAGGGACAUGAAGCAACUUGCCCAAAGCCCCACAGCCACUAAAUAACUGAGCUAGAAUUCGAAUUUAGGCCUGGGCGUUCCAAAGACUGGCUCUUCACCUCCAAGAAACUCUUUCUCUCAAAUCCAGGAGCGAGGUCGUGAUGGAGAAGGGAGGCUGCUGUCAGUCUUUGUAAUGAUUCCCUGGAAGCUUCUUACAAGUCGAGAAAGCGAGCGGUCAGAGAAGGGAGAAGGAAGCCAUCCAAGGCCUUGGGAGCAAAGAGCAGUCUGAUGACGAUCAGGAAGUGCCUGAGAAUCUACAUAAGAGUUAAUCUGUUUCAAGAAAAGUGUGAGCCUGAAGCAUCACCAGCGCUCAGAUCAACAGAGGCAGGCAGGACUGGAUGAAAACGGUCAAACCAGGAUCACCAGGAACAGAAAGGAAGUUAAGGAAAUCCUCUCCCGAGUUGGAAAAGCAGUCCGUGAAGUCUUUGGCUACGGUGCAAACUGUUAGCAAGGCACUGGAACAGCUUUUCAAGGGCGUUUGAAGGAAAAACCUGCCUCUUUGAAGAUUUGCUGACCUCUUCUGUGAAUGCCAAAACAGAGCAAGUAUGGACCACAGAUCAUAUUUUUGCAUACGGACACCAAUUGUUCCAGCACCAUUGGUUGAAAAUCAUCCUUCUUCCACCAAAUCGCCUUUGUGCUUCUGUCAAAAUCAACUGACCAUAUAUGCGCAUAGAAUGCCGUGCUAGGGUGGCUGAGGAGAAAGACCCAGCUCUCAAGGAGCUCACAGUUGUGGACAGAGGCUGAUCAGUAAAGGAUCCUGGAGCACCCGCCACACGCCAGGCUUUCUGGCAGAAGUCUCGGACGGGCGUCCACAGAUGUAGAGCCUGCAAGAUCCCUUGCAUUCAAAUGAGGACUCCAAGGUGGAGGUGAACUAGACGAAGCAGAACGCGGGAUGGUGGCAGGUAAGCCAGUAACUGUAACCAAUCUUGGCGGGUGCCGUUCCUGCGUUAGAAGCCGGGGCAGGGUCUUCAGAAACACAACGCAGGGACACCUGAACGGAGUCUUAAUGCACGGGAAGCCUGGUGAAGAGGGAUGUGCGGCCUGGAGGGUGGUAUGCAGAGCCAUAGGCAAGGCCCUGGGGCAGGCACCACGGUGGGUGCAUGUGGGUGGUACAUCUGGAACCAAAAAUGUGAGCAAGAAAUGGUGGCAUCCGAAGCAAGGUCACAGAACCUUCGUCUGCAGUCCUAAGGUGCCGAGGAUCUACCGUGUUGGCCUGUGCGUUUCCCACACUCUCCUGACAAAAAUCACGCACGGAGAUCGUUAGAAGCUGCUUUCCAAGUUCAAACUCAGGCCUAC